UGGAUCCAGACUUUGAUCCUGGCUCAGGAUGAACGCUAGCUACAGGCCUAACACAUGCAAGUCGAGGGGCAGCAUGGCGGUCGCUUGCGACCGCCGAUGGCGACCGGCGAAUGGGUGAGUAACGCGUAUCCAACCUGCCCCGCGCCCGGGGAUAGCCCUUGGAAAUGAGGAUUAAGACCCGAUACGUGGCGCCGCCGCAUGGCGGUUCCAUGAAGCAGACGCGGGAUGGGGAUGCGUUGGAUUAGCCAGCCGGCAGGGCAGCGGCCUACCGGGGCGACGAUCCAUAGGGGUUCUGAGAGGAAGGUCCCCCACACUGGCACUGAGACACGGGCCAGACUCCUACGGGAGGCAGCAGUGAGGAAUAUUGGUCAAUGGGCGAGAGCCUGAACCAGCCAAGUAGCGUGCAGGAUGACGGCCCUACGGGUUGUAAACUGCUUUUGCGGGAGAAUAACCGGCGCCACGCGUGGCGCCCUGCAGGUAUCCCGUGAAUAAGGACCGGCUAAUUCCGUGCCAGCAGCCGCGGUAAUACGGAAGGUCCGGGCGUUAUCCGGAUUUAUUGGGUUUAAAGGGAGCGCAGGCGGAGGAUCAAGCCAGCCGUGAAAUGGCGGCGCUCAACGCCGUCCGGCGGUUGGAACUGGUCCCCUUGAUUGCGGGAGAGGAAGGCGGAACUCGUGGUGUAGCGGUGAAAUGCAUAGAUAUCACGAAGAACCCCGAUUGCGAAGGCAGCCUUCCGGCCCGUAAAUGACGCUCAUGCUCGAAGGCGCGGGUAUCAAACAGGAUUAGAUACCCUGGUAGUCCGCGCGGUAAACGAUGAAUGCUCGGGAUUCGGGCUUUAUGUCUGAGUCCCCCAGCGAAAGCGUUAAGCAUUCCACCUGGGGAGUACGCCGGCAACGGUGCAACUCAAAUGAAUUGACGGA
rnacentral:rRNA from 1 species